UAGGAACCUAUUGACGUGACGCUGUUCGCUCAUCUCACGGAUAUGUUUUCAGGAACAGUGGGCAUUAAAAUGUCGUUCACAGUGGAAGAGACUAAAAUCAAACUUCAGUCUACAGGGGAUGACCUUGUUUUUUUCGUUAAUGGAAAAAAGAUCACUGAAAAGAAUGCUGAGCCUGAGAUAACACUUUUGACAUAUCUUAGGAGAAGCUGUAUCCUUUUGAUCUUCUGUUCUGUUGAACAGCCUCUGUGUUAGAUUUGAAUGCUGCUUUUCUCAAA